rnacentral:lncRNA from 10 species
GUCCUAAAGGCUGAGCCCAGAACAAAGAAAACGAGUCCCUUUUAAGCAUUUUGAGGCAGGAACUACGUGAAGCAGGCUUACAGAAGCGAGAACUAAAGGCUGCUGUGACACUUUUGCAACAUGGCUUACAUCUCUUGGACGGAGCCCAUUCCAAGCAAACUAUUCCAAGGAUAGCUGUUUUUCUUCUUAAUACGCCAACAGCGAGAGAGCGUGAGCCUUCCUUUACCUACCCAUGAGCAUCUGCCAGUGAUCCAGCGGGCACUGCUUCCUCC